ensembl:lncRNA PDE4DIPP4 PDE4DIP pseudogene 4
GCAUUCCCGACAUCAUAAACGACUCAGACGGAUGCGGAAACCGAGACGGCCUGGAUGGAAAACUCUUUCAAGGAAGACCCCAGGGCCCUGAACGGAAUUCCGGAUAUUUUCUCUACAACGUAGUACACCUGCCUUUUCCCAGGAAGUAUCAUUCCUUGAUUCAGGAUCAGGCUCAAGAGUUAACCCACCUACGGCAGAAGAUGAAGCUUGGGAGAGUGGCCUCUGCUCUUCUCAUCCAGCAUGUCAAGAACACACUAAAGACCUUUGAGGAGCUACUCCAGAGCAAUAACUUUGACCACUAUAUGGAGCAGCACUACUGCGAGCAGCUGGCCAAAGGAAGCCAGCUGGCAGAGAGCCUUGCCAGAAAAUUCAGCACAGGAAGUGGAACACCCAUGUCAGCAUACGAUGACUGUGAAAGCAAACUUGAAAAACUGGGCUCUGUGUGAAUAUCCAAUGUUGAAGCACCUUCCUGGAAUGAGUGAACAAAGUUAAGGACUUGCAGAGAGAGUUUUCUACUGGAAUGUAAGAGGUUUUGAAGGCUCUCUUUUCUGCA